GCCGUGGCUCAGUGGUACAGAGUCCGCUUUGAAUGUGAAAGUUCGCAGGUUCAAUCCCCGGGAUCUGCA